GCUGCUUUCAAAUCCAACCGCUCAAUUCCAUUCAUCCUCGAGAGGGAACCAAAAAAAAGUGGCUGUUUAUUAGAAUACUUGUUUUCUAUUGUUCCGCGCCACACAAAAGGCGCUUCAUUAUUGUGUGGUGAAGUGGUGGAAUUGGGAGCCGGCCGCGCUCGGCCUCGCACACUAAGAGUGUAGAUUUUAUGAGGGAUGGCGGUCUGGCGGCUCGCCGUGGCUGGUUAGGACAGAGCGAUAGAAACGAGGGGAGGACAGUUUUCCAUCACCGCCGAGGUGGGACGAUGGAACUCGCGGAUGAUUGUGAGAGACUCUGCAGGAAUUUGGCAGGCCCGGAGCCCGGAGUUUGGAGAGGCGCCCCACGCUGACUCCCAUUCAGCGGUCCAGCGCGCUGUGCGGUUGGGAAGUUUCAGUGAGCCGUGCACUCAAUAGCUCCACAAAGCUGAUUACAAGCCCCAGCGAAUUCCUGAAGGGAGCGGGCAGCCACACAGAAUGUCCUCAUUAUGAAUGCGCAUGAAACCUGGAUAAACCAACAACUUCAUGAACUACCCACAGCGUCAACAGCAGUUUGGUGGUUCGAGGCACUGGACUCCUGAAACCACACAGACCCCCAGGGCAAGAAGGCCUUUCUCUGCCAAGUGUGUACUCCUGGGCCUCACAUGGCUCAGCUGGGAUUUGAAUGUGCUUAGUUACUUUAGUCAAUUAAAAAUGAAACAUAUAUGUGACAUCCAGUUCCUUGGAGAAAGACUAACCAUGUCAUCAUGCUUAUCAGGGUGAUUAUCUAAAGUGGAGGAAAUGUCCAGGUCUAUUCUUGCAGUAACAGCUCUUGCUUAGUCAUGUAAUUUCUUGUAUUAGUAUAUUGUAUUAGUGUACAGAACGUAUUGUAGAUGUUGUUAUUGAUGUUGUAUUGACAGAUACUGUAGGGUUUGUCUGGGCUGCACUGCUGUGCCUGUGGUCAGGUGCCCUGUUUCAGGCGCAGGGGAAACCAGAUCCGACCUGUUCGCAGAACCGCACACAAAAGCACUUGACAGACAGCCAGAUUUCCUCUCAUGGCCACGCUCAGGUUUCCACGCUCUCAGUAUGCUGCUUGAGAGAUGGCAGGUAAUGCUAGCUCAGGUGUGCUCGGGGGCGUGGCUCCUCCUUUUCCCCUCCUUGUCUUCAUCACCCCAAGGCCAGCAACAAGCAUGGCUCUGUUUCAGCCACUUGUCCUCCACCGCUGAAAUAAUCAUCUGAUCAGCCAUCCGCCACCACCCCCCACCUUCUCAAUAUUUAUGCCUUCGUUUUUGCAGUCCUACAUUGUGCUUUUUCUCCACAUUCUCUCAGUUUCAAAACUUUUGCUUCAAAAUGGGGAUUUAUCAUGCUUAUAGCAUUUGAAAUUUAAGAUCAGAAAAGAUUGGCUGAAAAUACUGCGUCAGGUCAUUUUGCAGUGAAAAAUUCACAUGAAACCAAAGGGCUUUGAGUUUUUGUGGAACAUCAGUUAGAAACUGAGAUAUGACUUUCUCUCAUUCAACCCACACUACCUACUCCACACACCGUGUUCACCUUUGCUUUUAGCAGGAAAGGAAGUGUGUGUACAGCCAAAGCAUAAAAGAGGCACAUGUUAUAUACUCUAUUAAGAAUAAGUAUACUAAUAAGUAUAUUAGCAUGAUUAAUUUAUGUAGCACCUAUCCAAGGCCUCUCAUACACAAACAGCACAACAACAACAACAACCACAACAACUACAUAAUCACCCCAAAAAAAGCUUCAAGUUGAGUUUUUAAGGAGGAACGUGACAAGGAGAAUCGAUUGUGGUUCCAUAGUGUAUGGCAGGGGUGCUUAAACUUGCUGUUCUGAAUCUAGAUUUUGUUCAUUUUUGAAAUAUAUUCAAAAAUACAAUUUUAAAAUAAAACUAGAAAUGUAAUAAGCUACAUUCAGUUAUGCAACAUUUUGAACAUCCCUGGUCAAACUAUAUGUUUUGUUGAUUUUCUUUGUGAAAAUAAGUUCACUAAUACUCUAAAGGAAACACAAAAUAUUUUUCCACUGCCAAUUUUACUGCACAGUUUCUAUUUAUUCAUUAUUUAGUAUUUAGUUAUAUAGUAUUUACAAACAUAUUUAUUCCUCAGUUUAAAAUGCUGGAAAAAAUAUAAACAAUAAAAAUAUGCCAUAACUGGACAAAGGCCACACUUUGUUUUUUCUCAAUAUGUUAAAUUUAGCAAAUAAACAGCAAUUGUGCAUUAAAUUGUGUGUGUUCUCUGUGGAGCAUGUGUACUUAUAUACACUUAGUAAAAUAUGUAAUUUGGGCAGCCAAAUUUUGCAUAUAACUGCAAUAUAAAAAUAUGUUUGUUCUGUCUUUGGGUGAGGGCCUGGGGUUGGGUACCUUGCUGGAGUGUCAACUCAAAUGACUUCACAGGCCAGCCAAUUAUGGCCUGUGGGCCACUCUGUCAGUAGCCCUAGUUAUUGUUGGAAAUGGUGCUAAGAGUGGCGACCAAUCUGAAUUUAGGAGCAGUUAAAUAUCUGUUUAUGUUUUUCUUAAAUAGCUGUUUUGCUCUUUUUUCCGUGCUUUGCUGUAUUCCUUUACUCCAGGCUUACAUGUCUGUAGUUAACCUGAUGUGUUAUAAAACACCACCAAUGAUGACAUUCUCUACCACAUGCUUUCCCAACUCUACCAGCUGCCGUUAUUUGUUCUUCAUAUUUGCCCAGCCUCACACUAUAUGUACCCUGCCCCUCUAUUUUCACAUUGCACCCACACACCUGUUGACAAACAAAUGUAUAUGUCUGCAUCAAACGAGGAAUAAAAGAACACCGCUGCA